UAACGCGAAGAACCUUACCAGGUCUUGACAUUUUCUGCUAACCUAAGAGAUUAGGCGUUCCCUUCGGGGACGGAAUGACAGGUGGUGCAUGGUUGUCGUCAGCUCGUGUCGUGAGAUGUUGGGUUAAGUCCCGCAACGAGCGCAACCCUUAUUGUCAGUUGCCAGCAUUUAGUUGGGCACUCUGGCGAGACUGCCGGUGACAAACCGGAGGAAGGUGGGGAUGACGUCAAAUCAUCAUGCCCCUUAUGACCUGGGCUACACACGUGCUACAAUGGACGGUACAACGAGUCGCGAAACCGCGAGGUCAAGCUAAUCUCUUAAAGCCGUUCUCAGUUCGGAUUGUAGGCUGCAACUCGCCUACAUGAAGUUGGAAUCGCUAGUAAUAGUGGAUCAGC
rnacentral:rRNA from 1 species